CCAAACUGUUGCCUCGGCGGGGUCACGCCCCGGGUGCGUCGCAGCCCCGGAACCAGGCGCCCGCCGGAGGGACCAACCAAACUCUUUUCUGUAGUCCCCUCGCGGACGUUAUUUCUUACAGCUCUGAGCAAAAAUUCAAAAUGAAUCAAAACUUUCAACAACGGAUCUCUUGGUUCUGGCAUCGAUGAAGAACGCAGCGAAAUGCGAUAAGUAAUGUGAAUUGCAGAAUUCAGUGAAUCAUCGAAUCUUUGAACGCACAUUGCGCCCGCCAGUAUUCUGGCGGGCAUGCCUGUCCGAGCGUCAUUUCAACCCUCGAACCCCUCCGGGGGGUCGGCGUUGGGGACCUCGGGAGCCCCUAAGACGGGAUCCCGGCCCCGAAAUACAGUGGCGGUCUCGCCGCAGCCUCUCCUGCGCAGUAGUUUGCACAACUCGCACCGGGAGCGCGGCGCGUCCACGUCCGUAAAACACCCAACUUUCUGAAAUGUUGACCUCGGAUCAGGUAGGAAUACCCGCUGAACUUAAGCAUAUCAAUAAGCGGAGGAAAC
rnacentral:rRNA from 1 species